UCUUCGCAUUUUGUCUCCUUCUCGGAAAAAGAAUAAUUUGCUAACCGUCGAUAAUACGUUAAUAAUUACAUAAUGACCGCAUGUAACGAGAAUAUAGAAUCGAUUUAAAUCUAACGUUGAAAAUAAUUGCUAGAGCUUGAUUACAAAAAUUUGAAUUAGUAUGAUCUAAUAAGAUAAAGAGAUUAUUUAUCUUUUCUUCUUACAAUAUCUACAGAUAGUUAUUAAAAUCCUAAUUGAAAAAUGAGUUAGUUUGAAUUGAUCAUUUUUUCAUUUCAAAAAAGAAAAUCAAAUCAUAAUCUACUCUAAUCUUCUCUAUCAUAAGCGAUAAGGUAAGAACAAAGAUGCGUGCACACACAUGCCAUGGGCAAAAGUUUUUUGUCACGACUCGAUCGACCGACCCCGAUCUCUAAGGAAAGAUUUGAGGACAAGAUAAAAUCAACAAUUCCUAGUAUAUUUGAUAUUACUUCAUUUUAGAUUCGACGAUUGGAUAAACAUCUAACACUAAACAUAAGAACACAAAUUAAACGAUAGCUUAUUAAAUGCUGAUAAUAAUUUUGCGUGUUCAAGAUUUAUUUAUAUGCUAUAAGGAAAUAUUUCUCCUUUGUUAAAAUAAUAAAAAUUAAGAUCAAAAUUGGAAGAUAGGAGAGAGAAAACAAUAGAAGAGAAUUUUUGAAACUUCAUAUAAUAUGUACUAUGUGCGUAUGUAGAGGAUGUUCCUCAAUCGAUUAGCGCGUAAAGUGUGCACAGUAUCGUACAGCCAACGAACGGCAUACUCGCAUGGUGGUAAUAAACGAGUAACCUAUAUUCGUCCUUACGUAAAAAAGCCAAAAGGGUCAUUGUAUGUCGAUCAUCGAAAUAUCAUCGAAAUAUCAUCGAAAUAUCAUCGAAAUAUCAUCGAAAUAUCUUCGAAAUUGCGAUCGCGAUCGUAGGAUAUGCAUUUAGUUGGCACAUUUGACGUCUAUUAGAGUAACGAUCGGUACCAAA
rnacentral:lncRNA from 1 species